CCAGGCAGCUGCCAGCCUGCAGAGAUGCCUUCAAAUCAAAGGUUCAGGUGGGAUGAAGUUUUGUUUGGACGAAGGUGGGAGUUUCCAGGGAGCCAGCUGGAAGUGCAGAAGGGAUGGAAAGCUUUCCCAGGUACUUCCCAGUGGCACUGCUCAGACACCAGAGCUCCAACUGCAGCAGGGGAUUUUUUCAGAUUUCUGAGAAGCCAAGCCCAUCUCAGGAAGUUGCAGCAUGGUUAAAGUGAUCUCCUUCAGCUGAGCUGCAGUCAUGUACAUGUGCAGCUCCUCCAGAGCCUGCAGCUGGUGAGACUUCCUGGGAUAGACCUGGCUUUGGUCCUUCCCCCCAGUCUGCAGCUCUUCCAGGACACUUUUGGUGAUGGCUUUGAAAUACUUGGACAAGACGUGUCUGUGAUCUCUCGUUUUCAGCAGCUGGAGCACCCCAGAAUGGAGGUGAGCUGACAGGAGCUUCACAGUGACAGGGUUCAGACCAGGCUGAGGAAUAGAGCGCAGCUCCAACGCCAGGAACCAGCUCUCCAGUGCAGGAUGUCUGAAAAUCAAGGGAUUUGGUACCUUGUCAUUUGAAGACACUUCUGUCAUCAGAGGCUCCUCAUCCAUGAAGAGAUCCCAUCAGCCUGAUGCUCCUCCUGCU